rnacentral:rRNA from 1 species
UAGCUAGUUGGUGAGGUAAAGGCUUACCAAGGCGACGAUCUGUAGCGGGUCUGAGAGGAUGAUCCGCCACACUGGAACUGAGACACGGUCCAGACUCCUACGGGAGGCAGCAGUGGGGAAUUUUGGACAAUGGGGGCAACCCUGAUCCAGCCAUGCCGCGUGAGUGAAGAAGGCCUUCGGGUUGUAAAGCUCUUUCGGCCGGGAAGAAAUCGCAUGGGCCAAUACCCUGUGUGGAUGACGGUACCGGAAUAAGAAGCACCGGCUAACUACGUGCCAGCAGCCGCGGUAAUAUGUAGGGUGCGAGCGUUAAUCGGAAUUACUGGGCGUAAAGCGUGCGCAGGCGGUUUUGUAAGACAGGCGUGAAAUCCCCGGGCUUAACCUGGGAACUGCGUUUGUGACUGCAAGGCUAGAGUACGGCAGAGGGGGGUGGAAUUCCACGUGUAGCAGUGAAAUGCGUAGAGAUGUGGAGGAACACCAAUGGCGAAGGCAGCCCCCUGGGUCGAUACUGACGCUCAUGCACGAAAGCGUGGGUAGCAAACAGGAUUAGAUACCCUGGUAGUCCACGCCCUAAACUAUGUCAACUAGGUGUUGGGUGGGUAAAACCAUUUAGUACCGUAGCUAACGCGUGAAGUUGACCGCCUGGGAGUACGGCCGCAAGGUUAAAACUCAAAGUAAUUGACGGGGACCCGCACAAGCGGUGGAUGAUGUGGAUUAAUUCGAUGCAACGCGAAAAACCUUACCUACCCUUGACAUGCCAGGAACUUGCCAGAGAUGGCUUGGUGCCCGAAAGGGAGCCUGGACACAGGUGCUGCAUGGCUGUCGUCAGCUCGUGUCGUGAGAUGUUGGGUUAAGUCCCGCAACGAGCGCAACCCUUGUCGUUAAUUGCCAUCAUUUAGUUGGGCACUUUAACGAGACUGCCGGUGACAAACCGGAGGAAGGUGGGGAUGACGUCAAGUCCUCAUGGCCCUUAUGGGUAGGGCUUCACACGUCAUACAAUGGUCGGUACAAAGGGUUGCCAAGCCGCGAGGCGGAGCCAAUCCCAGAAAGCCGAUCGUAGUCCGGAUUGCAGGCUGCAACUCGCCUGCAUGAAGUCGGAAUCGCUAGUAAUCGUGGAUCAGCACGUCACGGUGAAUACAUUCCCGGGUCUUGUACACACCGCCCGUCACACCAUGGGAGCGGGUUCCGCCAGAAGUAGGUAGCCUAACCGCAAGGGGGGCGCUUACCACGGCGGGGUUCGUGACUGGGGUGAAGUCGUAACAAGGUAGCCGUAGGGGAACCUGCGGCUG